AUGGGUCUCAGCAGCAGCCGCUCCCCGCGGAGAGAGCAUAGGUAGGUAGGCGGUCCCCGUCCACAUCCUGGGAGAGAGAACUAAGGCGCCAAGAAAAGUCCCGGUCCCAAAAGCGAGAUCUGAGAAGGAGCCGCUCUCGUUGCCCCCACAGAAGACGUUCCAGGUCUCCAAGGCGACAUAGAUCCACAUCUCCCUCCCCUUCUCGACUGAAAGAAAGAAGAGACGAAGAGAAGAAAGAAACAAAAGAAAUAAAGAGCAAAGAACGUCAGAUUACUGAGGAAGACUUAGAGGGCAAAACAGAGGAAGAAAUAGAAAUGAUGAAGUUAAUGGGAUUUGCCUCCUUUGACUCUACAAAAGGAAAAAAUGUGGAUGGCUCUGUAAAUGCCUAUGCCAUAAAUGUGUCUCAGAAGAGGAAGUAUAGGCACUACAGGAAUCGAAAAGGUGGAUUUAACAGACCUUUGGAUUUCAUUGCAUGAGAAUUGGAAUGCUGAAGAAUGAUGUUUUCCCCUCAUCUUGAUCAGAGCUGUGGAUUUUGUAUUUUGUAUUUAAUGUUCAUCAAAAACAGGAUCACAGUCCUUCCUCCUUGUAAAG